rnacentral:rRNA from 1 species
GACGUAGGGUGCAAGCGUUGUCCGGAAUCAUUGGGCGUAAAGAGCGUGUAGGCGGCCCGAUAAGUCCGCUGUGAAAGUCCAGGGCUCAACCCUGGAAUGCCGGUGGAUACUGUCGGGCUAGAGUCCGGAAGAGGCGAGUGGAAUUCCUGGUGUAGCGGUGAAAUGCGCAGAUAUCAGGAGGAACACCAAUGGCGAAGGCAGCUCGCUGGGACGGUAUUGACGCUGAGACGCGAAAGCGUGGGAGCAAACAG